rnacentral:rRNA from 1 species
GGACAAGUGAAUAAGUGCACAUGGUGGAUGCCUUGGCGAUUACAGGCGAUGAAGGACGUAGUAGCUUGCGAUAAGCUGCGGGGAGCUAGCAAACAAGCUUUGAUCCGCAGAUUUCCGAAUGGGGAAACCCGGCCUUUUAGGUCAUUGCAUACUGAAUACAUAGGUAUGCAAAGCGAACGCGGCGAACUGAAACAUCUAAGUAGCUGCAGGAAAAUAAAUCAACCGAGAUUCCCAAAGUAGUGGCGAGCGAAAUGGGAUGAGCCUGCAUGAUUUAGCAUGACGCAUAGUGGAACGGAUUGGAAACUCCGGCCAUAGAGGGUGAUAGCCCCUUACACGAAAUGCGAUGUGUGGAACUAAGUAUGCGACAAGUAGGGCGGGACACGA